GAUGGUCCAUGUCCUCUAGACUCUUUUUUGUAAUUCCUCUUUUAAAUUAAAAUUUUUAAUAUAAUAUAAUAUAAAAAUUGUAUUUUGGGCCAGGCCUAGGCUGCCUAGUGCCUAGCCCCUCACCAGGCCUGGGUGUGUGAACAGGUUUAACUGCAAGAACCCCAAAGAUUCUAUGAAAACAUCUCACAGAUACAUAGUUUCCAGAUUCCCUCUCAAAAUGUCAAGAAAGUCUCUUAACCUUCUGAGUGCUGAUGCUAUGCUGCAGUUUCUGGUUUUCUUAUUUAGAUUGCUUAUCACCUGUUGCUAACAUGGCUUUCAUUCAUCAUACAUGCAAUAUGACACAAAUAAAGACCUUAUAACACCGAGAAAAGAGGGCAUAAAACUCCAAAAACUAUGACAAAACAUCAUUUAUGAAAGCUAUACAUGUCAUUGAAAAGAAUCAGGAAAUUACUUCUUUAACCUUAAUAUCAACCUUUCCCCAACAGUUACGCUUAACAUCAGCAACCGUAACAAAUAACGCACUAAAAAUUACUCCAAAAUGUAACAGAGUACAGAGACAGAGCACUCUGCACAGAUUACAAUCUGUAAUACAAAUCUCAGAUGCAUCUUUCCUCAUUAAAAGCAAAAACAAAAUGCAAUAUUUAGUAAUUCCAAAGAAUAAUAAGACCCAAAGUGCAUAUUUAUGAUAUUAUCAACCAGUUUAAGAAUAAAUGGCAUAAUACUAAAUUUAAUCAUUUAUGUGCAUAACUACAACGGAAGUUCUACUACAUUAUGCCAAUUUUCAAUGUAUUCCCAAUAAAUACUUUUAAUUCAAGUGCUAUUAAAAUGUGAAUUGUUUUCCAAUCCUAAAUUGCUAUGCUGUGACAAUCUCUAUUAACUAAUGCUUAAAGGAUGCCACAGGAAGCAACUUUCCAAACUAGCUUUCUACUGAACAAAAAUAAUAAUUUUUCAAGAAAGAAAACAAAGAGAAAAUCAUCAAAAAGAAUAGAGGAGAUAAAAAGAGAGUAAAACUAUCCUCAAUUUCCUUAGCAACUAAAAAAAGAACUUUAGAGGGGGGGAACCCAAUAAACAAACUACUUCUUGGAAAAGGAUAAAAAAGUCAUUCCCAUUUUCCCUCCCUUUCAUUUGCAUUCAUUCAUUAAAAAAUUAUUAUUUUUGCUAAGUUGUAGGACUGAUUUGGAAGAAGUGUUACCAUGUAGUAUCCACAAGACAUUAGUUGUUAGAAAUUCCUGUCAUUAACAAUUCAAUACUAAUGGUUUCAAGUUUUAAAACGUAUCAGGAAGUGAAUAAAAAAGGAAAAGAGUGUCAUGAAUUCACUGAAAAAUGACAUAAUUUAUUAAACCUGGUAAUAUAGUUCACACUUAUCAAACAUAGAAGACCAAUAAGCUACAUGCUUCUAACGUUGACAACAUUUUCAAGUGCAUACAUGCAUGAAUAAACAAAUGAUUUUCAGUUGAUGAGUUUUGAAUUUACAAAAUUCAUGUUAACACUAGUCAAGAAGCAUUAAAAGCAAUAAAACUAAUAGGUGAAACAGCAUAUAGGAUGGAAAAUUAUUAAAAAAAAAAAAGAUUAAAUAAAUCAUAUAACUAGCUGCUUAUUUAAUCGACUCAAGUAUCCGACAUUCAUCAUCACAAGAAUAA
rnacentral:misc_RNA from 1 species